GGGUGGGAUGAGUAUUCUAAGGCGCGUGGAAGAACUCUCUUUAAGGAACUCUGCAAAAUAGCACCGUAUCUUCGGUAUAAGGUGUGGUUAGCUUUGUAUUAGGAUUUACUCCGAAAGCAAGGAAACUUACAACAAAGAGUCCCUCCCGACUGUUUACCAAAAACACAGCACUCUGCUAACUCGUAAGAGGAUGUAUAGGGUGUGACGCCUGCCCGGUGCUCGAAGGUUAAUUGAUGGGGUUAGCAUUAGCGAAGCUCUUGAUCGAAGCCCGAGUAAACGGCGGCCGUAACUAUAACGGUCCUAAGGUAGCGAAAUUCCUUGUCGGUUAAAUACCGACCUGCAUGAAUGGCGUAACGAGAUGGGAGCUGUCUCAAAGAGGGAUCCAGUGAAAUUGUAGUGGAGGUGAAAAUUCCUCCUACCCGCGGCAAGACGGAAAGACCCCGUGGACCUUUACUACAGCUUGACACUGCUACUUGGAUAAGAAUGUGCAGGAUAGGUGGGAGGCUUUGAGUAUAUGACGCCAGUUGUAUAUGAGCCAUUGUUGAGAUACCACUCUUUCUUAUUUGGGUAGCUAACCAGCUUGAGUUAUCCUCAAGUGGGACAAUGUCUGGUGGGUAGUUUGACUGGGGCGGUCGCCUCCCAAAUAAUAACGGAGGCUUACAAAGGUUGGCUCAGAACGGUUGGAAAUCGUUCGUAGAGUAUAAAGGUAUAAGCCAGCUUAACUGCAAGACAUACAAGUCAAGCAGAGACGAAAGUCGGUCUUAGUGAUCCGGUGGUUCUGUGUGGAAGGGCCAUCGCUCAAAGGAUAAAAGGUACCCCGGGGAUAACAGGCUGAUCUCCCCCAAGAGCUCACAUCGACGGGGAGGUUUGGCCCCUCGAUGUCGGCUCAUCGCAUCCUGGGGCUGGAGCAGGUCCCAAGGGUAUGGCUGUUCGCCAUUUAAAGCGGUACGCGAGCUGGGUUCAGAACGUCGUGAGACAGUUCGGUCCCUAUCUGCCGUGG
rnacentral:rRNA from 1 species